GCCAGUGUGGUGUAGUGGUUUGAGCAUUCAACUACGAUUCUGGAAAUCAGGGUUCAAUUUCCUACUCUGUUA